rnacentral:misc_RNA from 1 species
CGCACAUUGCGCCCUUUGGUAUUCCUUAGGGCAUGCCUGUUCGAGCGUCAUUUCAAACCUCAAGCCCCCUUUGGCUUGGUGUUGGGCGUUUGUCCCUCCCCCGGGACUCGCCUCAAAUGCAUUGGCAGCCGGUACGUUGGCUUCGAGCGCAGCAGAAACGCGCCUGGCGUCUGACGGAACCUGGCUCUCCAGGAAGCCUCCCCCACAGUUUGACCUCGGAUCAGGUAGGGAUACCCGCUGAACUUAA